UUUCACCUUUGCCCAGUGCCUCAAAAGAAUAGGCACUCAGAGGAACGAGGAACCUUGAGAUGUACCUGCCUUUGUGUUCAGCUUAUAUGUUGCGUGACUAGGAACAACGGUAUUAAAGUUGAGUGUUCUUAGCCUCUUUUACCCACUAAAUGGAAUUCUGAGUCUGGAAUCCCCACCUUGCCUUUUCCUCUGAGAGCUGAGGAAGAUUUUGUCUUUGCUAGGAAUUUUGUAGUUGAAGGUUGAAGGUCAAGGAGAGACAACAUGGACUUGAGAAGCAGGUCUGUUCCGUGUGGAGGACACCGAAAGAGGUGGAGGUGAGAGAGAGGAUUUUUUUUUAAACAGUGUUUUGUUUUGUAUUAAAAAUAUACUUCCUUAUUCU
rnacentral:lncRNA from 1 species